AAGCAGACUGAGCCUCUCCUCUUAUCAUAGCGGUAAAGUCUGCUGCAGUGUUUGGGGAGCUGUGGAAUUAAGGACUUUCCAGCACGGCCACCAACACAGCAGAGGAGCACUUCACAGCACUUGACCUCGUCACCUUCUAGAAGGAUGUUACUCAUUUGUUUACAAGUCAUGUCCUGCUGCAGUUCAGACAAGAAAUACGAGCAAUCAGAAAAACAAAGUCUCUUACUUCUUUGGGCAAUCCUAGAAGUGUUAUCUCACAUCUAGAGAUAAUUACAUUCUCAUAAAGUCUAAGAACCACCCAUAAACCUACUUCUAGCUUGAAACACUGGUAAAAUGAUUUUCACUGGAAACUUAGAAGCAUCAAGAGAAAGAAUAUGCACACCAUCUUGAUCGGAAAACAUUUCUCUUUGAAAGACCACACAGAAAUGGCACUUCUGGACUCCAACCCUACACGUUGCCUACUCAGCAAGUCUUCUAUUUUUCUCCUUUUAGAUGAUAUUUUAAUUUUUACAAAGUAAAUGAAGACUUUGCACCAUCAAGAGAAAAUAAAAGGCAAAAUACAGAAAAGUCAGAAGAAAAUAUGAGCAAAACAGAAUUGUGAGGAGAGUUUGUUUUCAGGUGGUCAGCCCAUCUGUCAGUCCUUACUUUUCAAAGUGAAGAACUAGGCUCUCAUCUUCCAGCAUAUGACAUGAAAUGUGUAUUAAUCACCAAUUAAUGCAGGCCUGACUCUGAAGACAUCUACAUAAUUUAUAUUGCUUCAGAUUGAGUUGCUAAAGUUACUGGCAGAGGUAAACCACUGAAUACCUUCAAUUUAUCCUUCUGUUUCCAUAAAAGCAUAUUUCCGUAGACUGAUGUUAGAGAAAAUUGCAUUUGUCUCAGUCAAAAUUGCUUCAUUUAUUCUUCC
ensembl:lncRNA